GCCUCCUACGGAACAUAUUAAGCUACACAGGAGCAGUGAUGAGAAUAAACAUGACUUUUGGUGCUCAUGAUUAAAUAUGGCAGUUUUAUUAUGAACCCACUACAUUAGAGAAGGAAAUACUGGAUGUGAAGUGCAGUAGUGCUAGUGUGUGUGAAUAGACGAUCAGUUUAGAUACUGACCCAGAACACUACUAACAUACAGUGCUUUCUUGGGGUGGUGCUGAAGUUGGAGUUGAACCGGUAAGAAAGAUAUUAGAGAGAGGCUUCUUUACACUCCUGAGGAUGUUCAAUUAGAACCUGCACCAAACUCCCCUGAUUCAAGUCAUCAGCUAAUUAAGCGGCCUGCACGAGCUGAGAUUCUUACUGAGGUGCUGUUUUCCACAUGCAGUGCUUGGCUGUGUUGGAGGUCACCAAGAAAGACUUCCUGGCUGUCAUGUGGAAGCUAAGUGGGCUGGGGUCAAAAGGGUUUCUGGCCAUGGUGCUUGUGCUGCAGUGAUCUUGUUCUCCAUCACACUCCAACACAAGUAGCCAUCUUCACCCUCUCCCAAGAGGUGAUGUGGUUUGACUUGUGCUACACAGAGGUGAGUCCAGUUAUGCUGCAAGAAGUGUAAGUAUGAUGGGGUUGACGAGUGGGAGGAGAGGUUCUUCUUCUUGACGAAAGCAUGAACUAGUAUUUCUGCAUCAUGUAGUGACAAUAUGUUUCUUAUAUAUGUUUAUGAUAUUAUCAUCUUGUCAUUUAUCAAAGAAGAGCUACAAAACCUGAAAUUUGUUCAUUUUUAGACAGAAAAAUUCUGCAGUGUAGCUCUUCUAGUGGGCUUUCCCACUGGAAGUUUAGUCCAACACAGAGCAGUUUGCAUGAAAAGUUGGUAAUGUGACCGUCGUAAUGUGGACUGGGAAGUGCACUGCGGUACCGAGCCCGAGACUACCUGUAGAAGGUGGUCCGAGUUCGGUUACACUGGAACUGUGAAUGCGAAUUGUCCCAUGAAUGUGAACGUAACUUAUAUCCGGGUCCGCACUUGUUCAGGAAGUAGAGUAACCUGUGCUGAAGGCCUGUUGUGGUGAUGACGUGUCAUGACAUGUUUUGGCCCAAAUCUGCAGUAACUUUGAAAAAGUGGAAGCUCGUCUGAAUAUUGUGGAGUUUCUUGAUUUUGCGUUAAUUUCUGUGAUCACAAAAUGGUGAAAUUCUGGACUGACACAUGGAAGCUAUGGAAUGAUAACAGAAGAAUGUGACUUUGGGUUGUACCGUGUAUUUUAUUUAUUUAUUUAUUUUUUUUCAUGUAGCUUAAUUAUUUAGUAUAAAUGAAGGCGUGUAUGUGUCCUGUUCUUCAUCUCUGCAGUCGUGUGUUCCCUGAUAGUCAAUGAUUGCUGGAGCUCUGGAAAUAGCAGGUGAGAUUGCAGGCCGGAGUCCCGUCGCUG